rnacentral:rRNA from 1 species
AUACGUAGGGAGCGAGCGUUGUCCGGAAUUACUGGGCGUAAAGGGCGCGUAGGCGGCGCUUCAAGUCGUCUGUCAAAUGGGAGGGCUUAACCCUUUUUCGCAGACGAAACUGGAGAGCUUGAGAAGCAGAGAGGCAAACAGAAUUCCUGGUGUUGCGGUGAAAUGCGUAGAUAUCAGGAAGAAUACCAGUGGCGAAGGCGGUUUGCUGGCUGCAUACUGACGCUGAAGCGCGAAAGCCAGGGGAGCAAACGGGAUUAGAUACCCCGGUAGUCCUGGCAGUAAACGAUGUAUGCUGGGUGUGGGAGUAGCGAUACCUCCGUGCCGAAGUUAACGCGAUAAGCAUACCGCCUGGGGAGUACGGUCGCAAGAUUGAAACUCAAAGGAAUUGGCGGGG